rnacentral:snoRNA from 2 species
GAUGAUAUGAUAACCCUUCCCCUAGACGAUCGACAACAGACAUACUGAACGCUAUAAUUUCUCCAUUAAGAAAACCAGGGUAGAAGUCUGAUCCUC